UUCUUACCUAAUAAUAUAGCCUAUGUCUAAUUCCAAAAUCAAAGUAUGUACGUAACAAACAAAAAUAUUCUAGGAACUAGCGUGUAGAGAGAUAGAAAAAGCGAACCCUAAAUUUCUUCACGACCAUGCCGCCAAAUAUGAGAUCAAUCCUUGCUAAGGUACAUCGAACAUCGAUGUCAAUGGUGUCUCGCCGCAAUUUUUCGUCACCCGCAGUUGACGGCAAAGAUCCAAAGAAAAGAUCUACAGUGAAAUAUGCGGUAACUCGAGCCCUAGGAUUUGGUAUCCUAGGAUAUGCUACGGGACUUUACAUUGGCCAUCGUCUAUCUCUGGAGGGAGGCUGACGAACCAUUUAAGAAAUCCGAAAAGUUAUCUGGGUGGUCUAUGUAAUAACUAUGUCUCUCUGUAAGCUGAAAAACUCUUAUUU